GGGCUGUGAUGACAAAAGGAUAUUUGGUUGACACUGAUUCUUCAUGUCAUUUAAGGACCAAAUUGUGAUGACCUUAUUUGUGCGUGUCUAAGCCGA